rnacentral:rRNA from 1 species
GAUGAACGCUAGCUACAGGCUUAACACAUGCAAGUCGAGGGGCAUCACGAAUGAAGCUUGCUUUAUUUGGUGGCGACCGGCGCACGGGUGAGUAACGCGUAUCCGACCUACCCAUAACACGGGCCCAGCCGCUCGAAAGAGUGAUUGAUUCCCGAUAUGUCAUAUGAGUAGAUUGUAUGAUGAAAGAUUUAUCGGUUAUGGAUGGGGAUGCGUAAGAUUAGGUAGUAGGCGGGUAACGGCCCACCUAGCCGACGAUGGUCUAGGGGUUCUGAGAGGAACGGUCCCCCACACUGGAACUGAGACACGGUCCAGACUCCUACGGGAGGCAGCAGUGAGGAAUAUUGGUCAAUGGGUC